UACGUAGGGACCAAGCGUUGUUCGGAUUUACUGGGCGUAAAGAGCGUGUAGGCGGCCAGACAGGUCCGGUGUGAAAACUAGAGGCUUAACCUCUAGACGUCGAUGGAAACCGUCUGGCUAGAGUCCGGAAGAGGAGAAUGGAAUUCCUGGUGUAGCGGUGAAAUGCGCAGAUAUCAGGAAGAACACCCGUGGCUAAGGCGGUUCUCUAGUACGGUACUGACGCUGAGACGCGAAAGCGUGGGGAGCGAACAGG
rnacentral:rRNA from 1 species